GCCAGACUCCUACGGGAGGCAGCAGUGGGGGAUAUUGCACAAUGGGGGGAACCCUGAUGCAGCGACGCCGCGUGGGUGAAGGAGCGUUUCGGCGCGUAAAGCCCUAUCGGCAGGGAAGAAGGAGGACGGUACCUGACUAAGAAGCCCCGGCUAACUACGUGCCAGCAGCCGCGGUAAUACGUAGGGGGCAAGCGUUAUCCGGAUUUACUGGGUGUAAAGGGGGCGCAGACGGCAGCGCAAGCCAGGAGUGAAAGCCCGGGGCCCAACCCCGGGACUGCUCUUGGAACUGCGCGGCUGGAGUGCAGGAGGGGCAGGCGGAAUUCCUGGUGUAGCGGUGAAAUGCGUAGAUAUCAGGAGGAACACCGGUGGCGAAGGCGGCCUGCUGGACUGCGACUGACGUUGAGGCCCGAAAGCGUGGGGAGCAAACAGGAUUAGAUACCCUAGUAAAA
rnacentral:rRNA from 1 species